rnacentral:rRNA from 1 species
AUUGAACGCUGGCGGCAGGCUUAACACAUGCAAGUCGAGCGGGGAAAGGUAGCUUGCUCCCUGACCUAGCGGCGGACGGGUGAGUAAUGCUUAGGAAUCUGCCUAUUAGUGGGGGACAACAUCUCGAAAGGGAUGCUAAUACCGCAUACGUCCUACGGGAGAAAGCAGGGGACCUUCGGGCCUUGCGCUAAUAGAUGAGCCUAAGUCGGAUUAGCUAGUUGGUGGGGUAAAGGCCUACCAAGGCGACGAUCUGUAGCGGGUCUGAGAGGAUGAUCCGCCACACUGGGACUGAGACACGGCCCAGACUCCUACGGGAGGCAGCAGUGGGGAAUAUUGGACAAUGGGGGGAACCCUGAUCCAGCCAUGCCGCGUGUGUGAAGAAGGCCUUUUGGUUGUAAAGCACGUUAAGCGAGGAGGAGGCUACCGAGAUUAAUACUCUUGGAUAGUGGACGUUACUCGCAGAAUAAGCACCGGCUAACUCUGUG